CUAUUAGCGAGGAUAGUAGGACUACUCUCCUCAUCAAUACAAGCGAUUUUCCCAGGCCCACACCGGGCAAUGCAGAGACUGAAAGCCCAAUAUUUACGAACCGGACACACAUACGAUCACUGGAUUACUGUCUCCACGGAGGCUCGGACGGAACUUCGGUGGUGGCUACUGCACAUGGAAGCCUGGAACGGCAGAGCCAUUUUCGGGGCGAACACGGACUUUGUAUUGGAGUCGGACGCGAGCCUUUGGGGCUGGGGAGCCCACUGCACCCACGGGAGGUCCAUGGUCUCAAGAGGAACAGGGUCUCCACAUCAACUGCCUGGAACUGAUUGCGGGAUCGUUUGCAAUUCGCAGUCUAGCCAAGGACAUGGCGAACUGUUGCAUCCUUCUACGCAUGGACAACAUUUCCGCGGUCCAAUACAUAAAUCGACUAGGGGGAGCCCGAUCAAGGAUCCUGACGGAGGCGACGAAGGACAUCUAUCAAUUCUGUAUUCCCCGCAACAUUACGAUCAAAGCGGAAUAUCUACCAGGAGCCAACAACCUCACGGCGGAUUGGUUUUCUCGUCACUGGCGAGACGGCAGCGACUGGAGACUGGACACUUCAGUAUUUUCAAUGGUGAGGGACCUCAGGGGCCCGUUGGUCGUGGAUCUGUUUGCCUCUCGGACGAACACACAGUUACCAAGAUAUUUCAGCUGGCUUCCGGACCCUCAAUGCGAGGCAGUAGACGCCUUU